AUGAAGAAAUAAACUACAGAAAGAGAGACAUUUUGCCUGUUACUCCCUGACAGCUAACAUGUAAAACCAAUAGGAACAUGAAAGGAACACACAUUUUUCAGAUACCUGAAGAACUAUUAAGCAUUUUUGCACAACAGAGAAAUGCAAAUAGGGACAUCUCAUUGCAGAGAAAACAAAUCACCACAAGGUCUAAAGAACAUUCAUGGGACUACAGGAGAAAAGGAACUAUUUAAUCUUGUUGGUGAAAAUGUAGAAAAUUAAAAAAAGAAAACACAAUCAGGAAUGUUGGUGCACAUCUGUCAUUCCAGGACUCCGAAGGCUGAGGCAGGAAGAUUCUGGAAAAUGGCACUGAUAUUUUGACAGGAAUGGCACUGAAACACCUGGUUGCUCUGGGUAGCCUGUACAUUAUAACAUGAAUUCUUCCCAUCCCUCAUCACAGUAUGGCUUUUCUUCUGUUAGUGCUCUUCUACUCAUUUAAUUAAUUUCUACAAUUUUCCAA